UACGGGGGGAGCAAGCGUUGUUCGGAUUUACUGGGCGUAAAGGGCGCGUAGGCGGUCGUGACAAGUCACUUGUGAAAUCUCCGGGCUUAACUCGGAACGGUCAAGUGAUACUGUCGGACUAGAGUACAGAAGGGGCAACUGGAAUUCUCGGUGUAGCGGUGAAAUGCGUAGAUAUCGAGAGGAACACCUGCGGCGAAGGCGGGUUGCUGGGCUGAUACUGACGCUGAGGCGCGAAAGCCAGGGGAGCGAACGGGG
rnacentral:rRNA from 1 species